UCAAGCUAUAAAGAGCACAAGGGGAAUGCCUUGGCACUAGGAGCCGAAGAAGGACGUGACUAACUGCGAUAAGCUACGGGGAGUUGUAAGUAAACAUUGAUCCGUAGAUUUCCGAAUGGAGCAAUCCGGCUGUGGUCAUGCACAGUCAUCAUAUACUGAAUACAUAGGUAUAUGAGGGGAACCGCCUGAACUGAAACAUCUAAGUAGGGCGAGGAAGAGAAAUCAACCGAGAUUCCGCUAGUAGUGGCGAGCGAACGCGGAAGAGGCCAAACCAGAGGUAGAAAUACCUUUGGGGUUCGGACAACAUACGAUAUUGAUAAUUUCUAGCUGAAUAGUGUGGGAAAGCUAACCGAAGAAGGUGAGAGUCCUGUAAGCGAAAGGAAGAGUCAGUCAGUUGUAUCCAGAGUACCGCCGGACACGUGAAACCCGGUGGGAAUACGGGGGGACCAUCCUCCAAGCCUAAAUACUACCUAGUGACCGAUAGAGAAGAAGUACUGUGAAGGAAAGGUGAAAAGCACCCCGGGAGGGGAGUGAAAGAGAACCUGAAACCUUGUGUUUACAAGCACCGAAAGUCCAUCAAAGGACGAUCGGGUACCUUUUGUAGAAUGGUCCGGCGAGUGUAUGUAUCUAGCAAGGUUAAGCACUUAAGGUGUGAAGCCAAAGCGAAAGCAAGUCUGAAAAGGGCGACAAGUUAGAUGUAUACGACCCGAAACCGGGUGACCUACCCAUGGCCAGGCUGAAGUGAAGGUAAAACUUCAUGGAGGGCCGAACCGACUCCCGUUGAAAUGGUAGCGGAUGAGUUGUGGGUAGCGGAGAAAUUCCAAUCGAACCCGGAGAUAGCUGGUUCUCUCCGAAAUAGCUUUAGGGCUAGCCUUGAAAUAGAUUACUGGAGGUAAAGCACUGAAUUGGCUAGGGGCCGAAAGGUUACUGAACCUUAUCAAACUCAGAAUGCCAGAUAAUCGUUUUUCAGGAGUCAGACGGUGGGAGAUAAGUUUCAUCGUCAAAAGGGAAACAGCCCAGACCCACAGCUAAGGUCCCAAAUUAUAGUUAAGUGGAGAAGGAUGUGGGAUUGCAUAGACAACCAGGAUGUUGGCUUAGAAGCAGCCACUCAUUAAAAGAGUGCGUAAUAGCUCACUGGUCGAGUGAUCCCGCGCCGAAAAUUUAACGGGGCUAAACUAUAAACCGAAGCUUGGGAUACCGUAAGGUAUGGUAGGAGAGCGUCAUGUAAGGGGUGAAGUCAUAGCGAAAGCGGUGGUGGACUUUACAUGAGUGAGAAUGCCGGAAUGAGUAGCGAGAAUUAAGUGAGAAUCUUAAUGGCCGAAAGUCUAAGGUUUUUGGAGGAAGGUUCGUCCGCUCCAAGUAAGUCGGGAGCUAAGGCGAGGCCGAAAGGCGUAGUCGAUGCACAUACGGUUGAUAUUCCGUAACCACUGACAACUUAAACAAAAUGACACUUUAGAAGGGCUUGACCCGGGUGCUGGUAAUCCCGGGCGUAAGGGACCGAAAAUUAGUAGGGAAGCAAGCUUGGAUGGAGGCGAGAAAAGUUUUGUGUAUGUAAUGUUGGUGCCCGUACCGCAAACCGACACAGGUGGACAGGAAGAGAAUUCUAAGGCCAGCGGGAGAAGGGUAGUUAAGGAACUCGGCAAAUUGACCCCGUAACUUCGGGAAAAGGAGUGCUCUCGAGAGAGAGCCGCAGUGAAUAGGCCCAGGCGACUGUUUAGCAAAAACACAGGUCUCUGCCAAAUCGAAAGAUGAAGUAUAGGGGCUGACACCUGCCCGGUGCUGGAAGGUUAAGAGGAGGAGUGAGAGCUCCGAAUUGAAGCCCCAGUAAACGGCGGCCGUAACUAUAACGGUCCUAAGGUAGCGAAAUUCCUUGUCGGGUAA
rnacentral:rRNA from 1 species